CUAGCUCAGCAGGCAAGAAAGACCCACCCUUCAUGGGGCCUGGUGUGGUGGCUCACAACUGUAAUUCUAGCACUUUGGGAUGCACAGGUGGGUGGAUCAUCUGAGGUGAGGAAUUCGAGACCAGCCUGGCUAACAUGAAAUUCUGUCUCUACUCAAAAUAUAAAAAUUAGCUGGGCGUGGUGGUAUGCACCUGUAAUUGAAGCUACAUGGGAGGCUCAGGCAGGAGAAUAGCUUGAACAUGAAAGGCAGAGGUAGCAGUGAGGUGAGAUUGCAUCACUGCACUUGGCCUGCGAGACAGAGUGAGACUCCAUCUCAAAUAAUAAAUGAAAGAAAAACUCACGAUUUGCAGAUUUGAGGGCAGGAAGCUAAGGAAUAGCUUGGCUAUGCCUGGAGCAGCCAGAGUCACUCCCACCUUGCCUGUGCGCCACAUCUCCCAUCCCAUGCUGUGGUCCCCACCCCAUGCUGUGGUCCCCACCCAGGUCAUCUGGCAAGGCCCAGUCACAGGUAAGUCCAGACCACAGGCAAGAGCCGGCCACAGGAAAGGCAAGUCAAGGCACAGGGCCUGUCAAAAGGCAAGCAAGGCGCAGGGCCCAACCACAGGCAAUGCAAGGCCCGGCUCAAGGCACGGCCACAGGCAAGGCGCAAGGCCCGGCCACAGGCGAGUCUCAGCCUCGGGCAUGACCCAGCCAAAGGCAGGGCCUGGAUACAGGCAGGGACUGGCCAUGGGCUGGGCCCGGCCACAGGUAGGGCAAGGUGCCAGGCAAGGCAAGAUCUGGCGCAAAAUCCGGCCACAGGCAAGGCAAGGCAAGGCGCAAGACCCGGCCACAGGAAGGCAAGGCCCAGCAAAAGUCAUGGCCCAGUGGAAGGCCCAGAAAAAGGCAAGACCUGGCCACAGGCAAGGCCCAGCCACAAGGAAGGCAAGGUGCAAGACCUGGCCAAAGAUAAGGCCUGGCCACAGGCAAGGCAAGGAGCAAGGCACGGCCAAAAGCAAGACACGGCGACAGGUAAGGCCCGGCCAAAGGCAAGGCAAGGGCCGGUGCAAGGCCUAUUCGCAGGCAUGGCCUGGCGCAAGCCGCGGCCAAAGGAAACACAAGGCACAAGGCCCGGCCAAAGACAAGGUCCGGUGCAAGGCCAGGCUGCAGGCAAGGCAAGGGCCACUACAAGGCCCGGUCAUAGGCAUGACCUGGAGCAAGACCCGGCCACAGGUAAGGCAAGGUGCCAGGUCCAGCCAAAGACAAAAAGUGUCUCGAGGAACUCAAUUGUGUUUCAUAUAAUUGUAUAUAUAAUGCUUAGUGAAUUUAGUUGUAUCAGCCUUUUUUUCUUAUUUUUACUAUUUUAUGACUAUUUCAUGAUAAUUAUUUUAUAUAAAAAUAAAAGUUUUUCAAUUCACACAACU
rnacentral:lncRNA from 13 species